AUGUAAAUAUUUCACAGAAAAUCCGGGAAAUGUUAUUGUAUCACAUAAAAUUUGUAAAUUAUCAAAUAUUUUUCGUAGGUACAAUUUGUUUGAGACAAAGUUAAAUUUUCCAUGAAUAAGGACUUUAAAUAUGAAUUAGCAUUAAUCAUAAGGAUUAUACAUGUUAAACUUUUUAUUUUUCAUGUGACGUUUCGAUCAUAGUUAACAGUAUUUUUGACCAUUAUGAUAAUUGGCUUAUGAUAUAAAACAAAAUAUAGAUAUGAAUAAUUGAUAGUUGGCAUCUAACAAAGUAUUGACACGGAUGAUUGACGUGUGAUAUGUAAAAAUGAUGGCCAUGUUGAUGACAAUGUUGGUUUGGUGAGGACGUCCAUUGCUGUUACAAUGAUGAUGAAAUGACGCUGUUCUUCUACUUCUACUUCUAUGAUGAACUCGUCUGUAAAUCCGCUGUGCAGACAUCAGCGACGAGUGGUGAUGUGAAAUGUGCUCCAUAAAACGUGGGCUAAAAACCUGUCCCCCAUGUGCGACACCAGUGAGCAUCAAGUGAGCAUCAGCAAACGUAAAGCAGGAAAUGGCGGGAAGAAUCCUAGCAGACGACAGUUGUCGCGCAGAUGCAAUCAUGCACCAUAUCAGACUCAGGCCCAGCUCUAUACUGGACUCGCCUGCAGCAGCUUAGGGUAUGAUAAAGGAAAUCAUAACUUUGUAACGUAUGUCUUGUUUACUUUUUGAAAAAUAAACUUUCGUGUCAAUGUAAUAAUUAUGUUGACAUAUCAUUAUUGUCUAAUGUUUCAUAAUGAACCAUUUUUAGCCAAACUGUUUGAAAAACGAGUAAGGGCUAUUUUAGUCACUUUGUCGUCUGUUCUCGUAAAACACUUCGUUUUGCAUAUGUCAGAAUUUAUUAUGAUUGUGUUACGGGGAACAUAAUCUAAACACCUUUAAAUUUGAACUAGAUUUUGAUUUAUCUAAUUACAUGUAUGCCACUUAGUCAACUUGAUUUAAAGCAGUCAUGUUUAAAAUAAUAAUUUAAGUUUACAAUAUAUUCUUAUCAAAUGAGCAUAAUAAUGCUGAGUUAUGGGUCAUUAAGAACUUUUCAGUAAUUUAAACAAAUAACUUACAAUUAUUUUUUAAAAUGCUAAAAAAUGUAACAUUUGUUCGACCAUGUUACCAAUCGUGUAUCCACAGGUAGCAGACGACAAUAGAUUUUAAAGUGGAAAUUUGUGACUUCCGGUGUGUCUGCUACUCGAUGUUGUGAUCUCAGCUACUUCCCCUGACGUUCAGUCUAUGAAAUGAGGGUCGAGAUUAAGAAAGAACGAAAAACGGCAAACUGAUCUUGGCAUGUUAAACCUUAUCACAGAACCGGAAACUACUGAUUAUGAUGAGGUAAUAACUUAUAUUUUAUGAAUAUAUGUAUAGAUUUGUUUCUUAGCCUGCUGAAAGCGAAAGUCAUUAGUCUUUG